UUAACAUUUGGUUAAAAAUCCAAACAGACAUUGUCUCCACAGACCGUCCCAUAUUCUUGUGUGCUAUAUACCUUCCCCCAGCUGAGUCCCCCUAUUACAGUGAAGAAACCUUCUCCAUCCUGCAGGAUGAGAUUAGCCAUUUCCAGACUAAAGGAAAUGUGUUUAUGUGUGGCGAUCUAAAUGCCAGAACUGGAAAUGAACCAGACUUUGUCAACAUGCAGGGAGACAAAUAUAUCACAAACACCAGCCACUCUCUGCCCUCAUACCAGCUAAGAAACCAUUAUGACAAAUCAACAAACAAAAGUGGGAGAAGCCUUCUAGAGCUCUGUCGGUCACUGGGCCUGUAUAUAGUGAACGGUCACAUACGGGGAGACUCUUUUGGUUGUUACACCUUUAAUUCUUUCUUGGGCAACAGUACUGUAGAUUACUUCAUCACAGACAUUGACCCAGUGCAUCUCAGAGCAUUCACAGUCAGUCCUCAAACCCCUCUGUCAGACCACUGUAACAGUACACUCUAUUUAAGACCAACUUAUAGCAAUGAAUCACACAGACAGCCCUCUCAUUUACUGAAGCUGCAACCACCCUACAAGUGGACAAAUAACAGAACAGAAAAUUAUCAGAAUGCAUUAGAAAGUCAAACAAUCAAAUUACUAUUAGACAAUUUUAUAAUGAACACAUAUCCACAAAAUAAAGUACACUGUUAAAAAUUGCUUUAGUUUUUACAGUAAAUAUUUACAAUAGACUACUGUGUUUUUAAUUUUACAGCAUUACUGUAUUUUGCCAUGUGGGAGCAUGCAUAAUUGCUGUGAAUUUUAGAGGUAUUCUAAUAAGAAUGAGAUACUGUUUUUUUUUUUUUUUUUAAGGUAGAUCACUGUUAUUGCAUGUUCCUAUGACUUCUGCAGUAAAUGCUUUUUUAAGAAGAAGAAAAAAACAGUUGCAAAAGUUUGUCAUCUUCAUCGGACAUCUUGGGAGUUGGGACUCUCCAUUGCUUGGUUUUUUAUGUUUAUUUAAAUUUGUAUAAAUUAUAAAAGCAAACACUUUGAUCCAUAUUCCAUUCCAGUUGGUGGCGAUAAUGCACCAACAAACUAGGUUGCCAACCGCCAAUAAACACCAAAAAAGUAGAGGCUGGGACUUUCCACACGCUUGCUUCGUCAUCAUCAUCACCAGCACUCAAUUUUCGCGCUCACCUCGUGCUCUACGGUUACCAGAGAAGGAGGAUCUCUAAUGAGAGCGAGUAGAGGUGUGUUACAUCUUCAAUAUGGAAUCCUUUUACAUCCACGUUGAAAAAUGGAUAAUAUAGAUUAUUUGUCCGGUUUUAUGAUGAAUUUGCUUGAUGAGUCGUCACAGAUGAAAGAUUAGCUGUCUAUAUUUUCUUCAACAUUAAAGUGUGGCCGGGCUGUUAUUUUACUAAAAAAAAAAUUAUAACUGCUCGGUAUAAAAUUCUUUUACAUUGUUGUUGGUAGUAGUAAUUGUAAGCUUUUAAACGUUUUAGGCUUUUAACUUGAUUGUGUGGUUUUAAGGAGUUAAAUAGUGUUUAACUUGACUGCCAAGCCAUUAACGUUAGCUAAUGACACGUUUUUGUUCGAUUUAAGAUGGUGUAAUGGUUUUUUGUUUUUUUUUGUUUUACUGCUUGGUAUAAAAUUAUUUUACAUUGUUUUUGGUAGUAGACAUAUACGCUUUUAAACGUUUUAAGAUUUAAAACUUGAUUGUGUUGGUUUUAUGCAGUUAAAUAGUGUUUAACUUGACUGCCAAGCCAUAACGUUAGUUUGCAGUGCACAUGCUUUAUUGCUGUGCAUUUAUUGUUAAUAAGUUGAAAAUGUUUAUCUGUCACUUUUGUAAUAAUGAGAGCAGUACAAUCCUGAGUUUUGUGCAGCAUGUGAAAUUGCAUAGAAAUGUGCCUAAAUCAGGUUUUAGAUGUGCUGUACCUGAUUGCCCACGUAUUUUCACUAAGUUUUCUUCAUUGAAGUCCCACAUAUACAGAAAUCACAGAAAACAUCACCAGUCUGCUACUAAAGAGCAUCAGGCACAGAUGUGUGAUAAAACAUUUAAAUGCCACGUAGACUUUUGUGAAGUUCAAUGUGGGACCCUAACACAGCUUUUGUCUCAUUUAAAGAGCCAUAUUGAGUCAGGUCUGGAGAUCCGGUGCCCAAUUGGUUGCAACAGGACAUUUAAGGUGAGAUCUACAUUUGCAUCACAUGUAUCACGGACACAUAAAAUGUGCUCUGUAAACCAUCUGAUAGAGCCUGCUAUGCCCAUGGAAACCCCAGUUUCAGAUGUCAUGUCUGAGAGUGAGAGAUCAGAUGUUGCAGAGCAAAAUUCUUCUGAAGUUGUGGAUGAAUCUCUUUUUCUAAGAAAUUUAACCCUCUUCUAUCUGAAACUGCAAGCUAAAUUGCUAUUGCCUGAGUCUACCAUUCAAGGCAUUGUUGAAGAAUUUCAAAACAUCCAUGACAUUGGGCAGUCAUAUUUUCUUAGCAAACUGAGAGAAAAGCUUGCUUUGCUUGAAUUGCCAGAGGAAAGGGUUAAUGAUGUGAUUGAUCAGUUGUCUAGGGAGGAUUUGCUGACAGCUUGUAAUAGUGGAGUUCUAAGUACAGCACAGAGGAGAAAGACUACUUUCAAGCAAGAUUUCCACUAUGUAGAGCCAGUCCCUAUUUUUUUAGGAGUCAGUGAAAGAAAUGGGAAAGAGUGCUUUGCUCAAUAUGUCCCAGUUAAACAGACCAUCAGUGCUCUGUUUCAGUGCCAGUCUGUGAGGGAUCAAUAUGAGCAGAUGCACUCACAAACAGCUGAAAAUGAUCUGUUUCGGGAUGUAAAGGAUGGUAAGAAUUUUUCAGAAAAUUCUCUCUUUCAAACUGAUCCAUCAUCUCUGGGUUUGAUAAUUUACCAGGAUUCAUUUGAGGUGGUAAAUCCUUUAGGCUCAGCUAGAAAAAAACACAAAUUACUGGCAGUUUAUCUUACCUUGUCUGAUAUUUUACCUCACAACAGGUCAAACAUAGACCACAUGCAACUUGUUCUUUUGUGUAAUGAGCAAGAUUUUAAGUACUUUGGACCAGCUCAUGUUUUUAGAUCACUAAUUGAAGAUCUCAAAGAUCUUGAGGAGAAUGGUGUUGUGGUGAAUGAUGGCAAAACUUUGAAAGCUUCUUUGUGUUCCAUCGUAGGUGACAACCUGGGAUCCCACAUGAUUGGUGGUUUUGUCGAGAACUUUAGCCGAAGCCUACAUUUCUGCAGGUAUUGCACCAUUGAGAGAGACUCAUUCCAUGCCACACCUUUAGAACCUGCUAUGAAGCGAACUGUGGAGUCUUACGAGAGAAACAUUCAGGAACUUGCUACCUUAGGUGAUAAUGUAGUUGGAGUCAAAUUUAACUCUCCUUUUAAUCAACUAAAUUCUUUUCAUGUUUGUCAGCCUGGCUUGCCCCCCUGCCUUGGACAUGACCUCUUUGAGGGUGUUGUGGCAUCUGAUCUUAAGUUGUACAUUGAUUACUUGGUAAAUCAAGAAAAAUUCUUUACUUUCACAGAGCUUAAUUGCUAUAUUAAACAGUUUAAGUACACAGGAAAUGAUGCUGCCAAUAAACCAGCUGAGGUUAACUCAGGGAGUGAGAAGCUUUGUGGUCACGCCGUUCAGAACUGGUGUCUUCUAAGACUUUUACCAGUUAUUGUUGGACACCGAAUUAAGGAUCCAGAAUCAGAAGGGUGGCAGCUCGUUCUACUCCUCAGACAAAUUGUAGACCUAAUUUGUGCACCAGCAAUACUGGCAGAUCAGGUUGCUUAUCUGAAAGUGCUCAUUGAUGAGUACAUUCAUUUCAGGUAUGUGACUUUCCCUUCUAAGCCUCUCAAGCCUAAACAUCACUACUUGUGCCAUUACCCAGAGCUUAUAAAACAAUUUGUACCACUCAUUCGCUUAUGGACGAUGCGGUUUGAGAGCAAACAUACCUAUUUUAAACAAUGUGCUAGAAAAUUGCACAACUUCAAAAAUGUAUGUGCAACACUUGCAGAAAGGCACCAGCUUCUCCAAGCCUAUUUAAGUGCUGGAAACCUCUUUCAGCCUUCUGUGCAAGUUGAAAAAGGCUCUGAAUUUUAUUCAUGUGAUUUUAACGAAGCGAUCAGGGAAUCAGUUGAUCAUUUUGAUUUUCAGCCAGGCAAUACAUUAGUAGCUACUGAAAUCACUUUGAAAGGAACAAAGUACAGGAAAGGCAUGGCUGUUCUUUUGGCCAGUAAUGAUGAGGGUUUGGAGGUUGGCAGAAUUAAACUAAUUCUUGUUCACAAGAAUGCUGUGGUUUACUUUGUGUCUGAGAAACGGUGUGCUGUGCGGUUGGUGGAUUUGGGUGUAUACUGCAUGACAGAUGAGGACCCAAGACAUGUCUGUGUACUUCAAGAGGAUCUAUUAGAUUAUUACCCUCUCCAGGAGUAUAACACAUGUGGCGUGUCUGUGAUUGUGUUACACCACUCUUUUCCAUCUUUUUAAGGUAUGUCUAAUUUAGAGGAAAUAAGACUUACCAUCUCCUCUUCGUUACCUGGUAUCUCUGAUGAAACGCUUCAAAAAUGUAUCCAUGGUCUUUCUGCUAUUGGUGUUGAGACAAAAGAUGACCUCCAGUAUGUCAAAGAAGACGACCUCAUGGAAUUCCUCAGGCCAAUACAAUGCCGCAAACUACUGAAUGCAUGGAAAAAUGAAGAACAAUCCAGCUCCUCGACACCCCAACGUUCAUCGUGUCAAGUUCUUUCGGAUAUAUCAAGCCCAGGAUCAGAGAGUUCAAGCUCUACACCAUCUUGUUCUACUGCUUGCUUUUCAGCUUCUUGCGCCUGGGCUGAAACCUUUAAGGUGCCUUGGGAAGUCAUGCCUUCCGAAAUUAAACUGGCCAUUGCAAAUAAAAAAAUACCAUCACCAGCUGAUCGAAGGAAGCUAGUAAGAAUGUUAGUGGAUAACAUGCAAAAACAUGAAGUAAACCCAACAAAGGCACAGUGUCAGAUCGUAGUGCAGAAUAUUGUUAAGCAGUACCCGGACAGCUUUGCUGAUGUUCUGUCUGAUGGAACAAAAAUAGGUAGUGGGUAUGCCUCUUUGCUCUUGCAAGUCAAAACCCGUGUGGAACAUGUAAACAGAAACAACACGUUAGCUCGUCGGAGAAAAGAACGACUACGAUCAUCGUGUAAAACCAUAUGUCAGAGCUCACGAAGACUGGCUGAUCAAUAUGGUUGUGUCAGUUGGCAGCCUGAGGAGUUUCCUGCAGGAGAAAAUGAUGACACUCUAGAAGAGAAGCGCAAGCAAAUGGUGCUGCUUCAUUCUACUGAAGGAAUGUCUGGAGCCAAUAGAGGAGAACUUCACAAGUUGAUGGAGGUCACAUAUUACCGUCAGCGCCGUGAUAUAAACGCCACUCCACCACUUUCUGAACUAAAGAACUCAUGGCCUUACCUGUUUAGUCUGAAGGGGAUCUUUUUACAUUUCCAAUUGCUUACUGACAUCUCACUGCUUCAAAAAAUCAUGGAGAGCAUUGAAGGGAAAGGAAAGAGGAUUCUAAGAUUUUUUCAAGAAAAGCCAACAAACAAAGAGGUGUGUGCUGUUCUGUCAAAGUAUCAAGAGGGAAAUUCUCUGGUCCUGUGCAUCUUGAAACUCUUAAUGGCCCAUUUCAAAGAGAGAACAGAAUCACUUCUAAUUGAAGCUGAUGCAGCAGCAACUGCAGCCGAGAUGGAAAGAGAGGGAUUACCGGAUUCACCCGCACUGAUCAUCCAAGGUGAAUCCAUGACCCCAAGCAAGUGGAUGUUGUCCGUCGAGAGGGAAGUUGUCCUGGGCCCGUUUUCAGAGGCAUUUGUUGAGGGCCUGGCAGCAUUGUUUGCGACCUAUUACAACUUAAAUCUUGCUUAUCAGGAUGACGCUGCAUGCACGCUGGAAUUUAUUCAGAGAGGACUUGUGGGCAUCAACCCGGAAGCUGGAUCAAAAGUUGCUGCUGGAAAGCGAGACAAGAAAAUGCAUGGAAUGAACCCACAUGUAUGCACACUGUUGCGUAAACUAAUGGACUUUGAAUGGCUUGUCAUUUAAAGUAUUCCCAUAGAAUUGAUACCAGAGACUGACCCAUUUUGCAAGUUCAUAUUCUUGCCUUUAAGGUAGGCAUUCAGACCAUUUCUUUUAGUUUAUGACUUAAGAACGAUUACUUUAGGAAUGUGUGCACUGCAUAGUUAAUAUAUGUGCUGCUGUUCUCCGAGGGUUUUUCUGAGGCUAAAGCCUUACUUUUUUUUUUUUUUUUUUUUUUUCAUUGUUUCUCCGAAUACAUUAUGGAAUCAGGUUAUGUUAAAUAGCCAUUAUUGCACAAUACAUUUGUUAUAUUAACGGACCAAGGCUAAGGCCUUGAAUUUAAUGUGCAAUCUCUUUUAUUCUUUUUCUUUUUUUUUACCAAAUACAUUUUGGAAUCUGGUUAUGUUAAAUAGCCAUUACAAUAAAUGUAUGUUAAUGAACCUGUUAUUGUGAGUUUUAUUUGACAAAUGCUUUAACUUACAGCAAACAAAUAGUGAAUUGAAUCCACAUCAAAUGCUUUAAUUUACUGUGAAAUGUAUAGUAGUACAUGUCAGUUCAUUGUUGCUCUUGUAAUUGCACUUGCAUUCAUAAACAUUAUUUCGACUUUAAUUUUAGUAACCGCUGUAAAAAAUGUACAGCAUAUAUACAUGUAUAUAAGGCAGUGUGCUGUGUUUUUUACAGUACAAUUGUAAUUAAUGAUUUACAGUACUCUUGGAAAUUUGCCAGUUGCCAGUAAGUUACUGUAAUUUGUACAGUAAAUUUGUAGUUAAUGAUUUACAGUACUCUUGGAAAUUGUACAGUCUUACUGGCAACCAAAAAUGCCAGUAAGUUACUGUAAAUUGUACAGUAAAUUUUUUACAGUGUAGGCAUAAAUCUGGCACUAAAGGACAUUACAGAUAUAUUCCACCAAUCAGCAUCCAUGUGCAAUUUGAAAAAAUCAUUAAAAAGAAAACCAAAAAACACCAAUGAGAAGUGGUUUGACGAAGAGUGUAAAAGAAUUAGAAUGACAGUACGAAAUCUUUCAAAUCAAAAACACAGAGAUCCUGACAAUGAAGAACUCCGCCAUCAGUAUCACGAAGCCCUUAGACUGUACAAACAAACUCUAAGAGUAAAAAAGGAAGAGCACACGGAACAAUUAUUUCAAGCAAUGGAGGAAUCAAUAAAUACCAAUAACUUCUGGAACAACUGGAACACUCUCUAUAGAGCACAAAAAGAAGAAUUGGCCAUUCAAAACGGGAACAUAUGGAGGACACACUUUGAAAAUCUGUACAAAACAACUGAAACAAAUCCUGCUCGAAAUGAAUUAAAAACCAAAUUAGAAAUCCUGAAAGAAAAGAUUAAAGACAAUCAGAACCCUCUGGACUUUCCAAUCACAGUAAAUGAGCUUACCGAUAGACUACAUGUGCUAAAACCCAACAAGGCAUGUGGCAUCGACGGAAUAUUAAACGAAAUGAUAAAAUACACCAAUGACCAAUUCAAAGAGGCAAUAAUCAAAUUAUUCAACCUUGUUUUGAGAGUAGGAUUUUUCCCCGACACCUGGAACCAAGGCUUAAUUACACCAAUAUUUAAACAAGCAGACAAAUAUGAGCCAAACAAUUACAGAGGCAUGUGUGUCAAUAGCAACCUGGGGAAAAUAUUCUGUUCGAUUAUCAAUAUGAGAUUGCAAAACUUUCUCAAAACCCACAAAAUCCUGGACAAAAGUCAAAUUGGAUUUCUGCCCAAACACAGAACAUCGGACCACAUAUACACCCUCCACACUAUCAUUGAUCGACAUGUAUACUAAAAUAAAUCCAAAAUCUUUGCUUGCUUUAUUGACUUUGAGAAGGCUUUCGACUCUAUCUGGCAUGAAGGACUCUUUUAAAACUCCUGGAGAAUGGAAUUGGAGGGAAAACAUUUGAUUUGAUAAGCUCCAUGUAUAAAAACAAUACAUGUGCUGUAAAAAUAGGAAAUAAACUAACAGAAUUUUUCUCCGAACAACGAGGAGUCAGACAAGGUUGCCCAUUGAGCCCCACUCUAUUUAACAUAUAUAUCAACGAAUUAGCCAAAGCCUUAAAUAAUUCGACUGCCCCCGGCCCAACCCUGACGCAAUCAGAAGUUAAAUGUCUCCUCUUUGCAGAUGAUUUAGUGAUUCUGUCAAAAACAAAAGAGGGACUACAGCAGCUCCUCGAUAUCGUACAGACAUUCAGUCAAAACGUGGGCUCUCAAAAUUAACCUCGCAAAAACUAAAAUAAUGAUUUUUCAAAACAGAUCCAGAUGUAGGGAAAAUAAAUACAUCUUUCGAGCAGGAAACCAAGUCCUCCAACACACCCAUGAAUACACCUAUCUGGGACUAAAACUGAGUUCUACAGGGAACUUUAAUCUGGCUGUGAAUGAACUGAAGGCAAAAGCACUGAGAGUCUUCUACAUGAUUAAAAACACUAUUCGACAUGAAAUUCCAAUUCAAACCUGGCUAAAAAUCCUAAAAUCAAUAAUUGAACCAAUUGCUCUGUAUGGCAGCGAGAUAUGGGGACCUCUAAAAACCCAAGAUUUUUCAAAAUGGGAAAAAGAAGAAAUCGAAACUCUGCAUACACAAAUUUGUAAAAAUAUCCUAAAAGUAAACAGAUCAACGCCAAACAACUCGUGCAGAGCUGAAUUAGGACAAUACCCCUUAUUGAUCAAUAUCCAAAAGAGAGCGGUGAAGUUCUACCAGCACCUGAAGCGCAGCGAGCCGAGCUCAUACCAGGCUGAAGCCCUGCGGUGUCAGGAGCAGAACCUGCAGAGGAGCACUCUCUCACAGCUGAUGCUCAAACUACAGCCAGACCAGCACAGCACCAUUCGGCCAAACCAAAUUAUCCAGUUACAAAAACAGAAUUACAUCACCUACUGGAAACAUGCUACUAAAUCACAGAAGAAGAUGGAGCUGUGUUUAGACCUGAAGAAAGAUUAUAAACCAGCAGAAUACCUGAGCUGUGUAAAAGAUCCCAAAUUAAGAAAAACACUUACAAAAUACAGACUGAGCGAUCACUGUCUGGCUGUAGAGAGAGGACGACACAGACAGAGAUGGCAGCCGAGAGAGCAGAGACUGUGUUUACUGUGCUCUCAGAGAGAGCUGGAGACAGAGGAACACU